rnacentral:rRNA from 1 species
GACGUAGGGCGCGAGCGUUGUCCGGAAUUAUUGGGCGUAAAGAGCUCGUAGGCGGUCUGUCGCGUCUGCUGUGAAAAUCCAGGGCUCAACCCUGGACCUGCAGUGGGUACGGGCAGACUAGAGUGCGGUAGGGGAGAUCGGAAUUCCUGGUGUAGCGGUGAAAUGCGCAGAUAUCAGGAGGAACACCGGUGGCGGAGGCGGAUCUCUGGGCCGUAACUGACGCUGAGGAGCGAAAGCAUGGGGAGCGAACAGG